GAUGAAGAACGUAGCGAACUGCGAUAAGUAAUGUGAAUUGCAGAAUUCAGUGAAUCAUCGAGUCUUUGAACGCACAUUGCGCCCCCUGGCAUUCCGGGGGGCAUGCCUGUCCGAGCGUCAUUGCUGCCAUUCAAGCCCGGCUUGUGUGUUGGGUCGUCGUCCCCCCCGGGGGACGGGCCCGAAAGGCAGCGGCGACACCGCGUCCGGUCCUCGAGCGUAUGGGGCUUUGUCACCCGCUCGAUUAGGGCCGGCCGGGCGCCAGCCGGCGUCUCCAACCUUCUAUUUUACCAGGUUGACCUCGGAUCAGGUAGGGAUACCCGCUGAAUUUAAGCAUAUCAAUAAGCGGAGGA
rnacentral:misc_RNA from 1 species